AAGUCGUAACAAGGUCUCCGUAGGUGAACCUGCGGAGGGAUCAUUAACACUGUCCAGGCCUGGCCGAAGCACACUCUCGCAGUCUGCUCGCCGCCAGUCGACCUGUCCACCAAUCGCGUGAAUCAAACUUUUCCCAGCUGUCGAGGGUGCGCGGACUGUGUUUCACAGUCCGCCUGCUUUCGAUGGCGUUUGUUUGUGUUUUCGACCAAACCGUGUCCAACUUCUUCUUUUGACUGAUGUUUUUGCUGUCGCUGGUCGACGGCCAUAAAAACAGUUGAAAAGCAAAGCACAACUCUUAGCAACGGAUAUCUCGGUUCUC
rnacentral:misc_RNA from 1 species